GCCCGCAUGGCUCAGUGGUAGAGCGUGACACUAGUAUGAAUAUCCCUUAUGGGUUCAGAACAAUGUCAAGGUCGUCAGUUCGAUUCUGGCUGUGGGCA
rnacentral:tRNA from 1 species